rnacentral:rRNA from 1 species
UACGAGGGGGGCAAAUGUUGUUCGGAAUCACUGGGCGUAAAGGGUGCGUAGGCGGGUCUUUAAGUCAGGGGGGAAAUCCUGGAGCUCAACUCCAGAACUGCCUUUGAUACUGGAGAGCUAGAGUCCGGAAGAGGUGAGUGGAACUGCGAGUGUAGAGGUGAAAUUCGUAGAUAUUCGCAAGAACACCAGUGGCGAAGGCGGCUCACUGGUCCGGUACUGACGCUGAGGUGCGAAAGCGUGGGGAGCAAACAGG